UUAGUGUGCAGUUAAACUUUUGAAGAGUUGUAUUUAACACGUGACGUAAAGAUUUGUCUAAAAAUAGAAAAAUGUUUUGCGGAAAGUUUUAGUCUACAAUAUAGAUUAAGAAAAAGAAUAUUCCGAUUUUUCAAGGAUGACUGUGUUUUACUGGCUCUAACUCUUAGAAGAAGAAACCACUAAGACGUACUAUAGCAGUGUUGGGAAAAGUGCUACUUUUUUUGGAUUUAGCUAAAGUACAAGGAAUUUUCGAAAAUCAUAAUCUUAAUCCGAACUUUAUGCUGUUAUUAGUAAACUACUCGGGAUGAACUGUUUCUAAAGAUUAUAUAGGA